rnacentral:lncRNA from 1 species
CUGAAAAGGCCCUUUCUCUAUCCUGCUUCCUCUUUUCCCCUACCCAUCCCGGAAGUCCUGCCAACUCGCCCAGUGAUUGGCUCCUUUAUUCAUUAGGGGAUGGUUCACAAGAAGUCACCUGAGUGCUGACUCAUUCCUCAUUCACAACCCCUCCCAGGAGACUGGAAUUAGCAUCAAAAUACAAGCAACCCCAGGGCUACCCACAACAAGCAUCUUCUAUGGACUCACUUCUGAUCCCACGCCCUCCUUGCAUCUUCCCCCUCCUGCCUGGGGUCAAGGCUAGGCCAAGUUCCAUUCUCCACCCACAGGAACAUUCUUGAGUUAAAUAUUCUCAGAAUGGACUGACUGAUAGUGACCCGACCCUCUGGAAAGUCCCAGCUCUCUACUUCAUCCCAGUGAGCCCCAAAGUCUGGGA